GGGGAAUAUUGCACAAUGGGGGAAACCCUGAUGCAGCGACGCCGCGUGAGCGAUGAAGUAUUUCGGUAUGUAAAGCUCUAUCAGCAGGGAAGAAAAUGACGGUACCUGACUAAGAAGCCUCGGCUAACUAC
rnacentral:rRNA from 1 species